CGCGUAGGUGGUAGUGCAAGUCUGAGGUGGAAUCCCAGGGCUUAACCCUGGAACUGCCUUGGAAACUGCAUUACUUGAGUCAGUGAGGGGAGGGUAGAAUUCCUGGUGUAGCGGUGAAAUGCGUAGAUAUCAGGAGGAAGGCCGGUGGCGAAGGCGGCCCUCUGGCGCUGAACUGACACUGAGGCGCGAAAGCGUGGGUAGCAAACAGGGUUAGAUACCCUGGUAGUCCACGCCCUAAACGGUGGGCACUAGGUGUAGGGCUCGUAAGGGUUCUGUGCCGAAGCGAAAGCAUUAAGUGCCCCGCCUGGGGAGUACGGCCGCAAGGUUGAA
rnacentral:rRNA from 1 species